rnacentral:rRNA from 1 species
CUACGGGAGGCUGCAGUGGGGAAUAUUGCACAAUGGGCGCAAGCCUGAUGCAGCCAUGCCGCGUGUAUGAAGAAGGCCUUCGGGUUGUAAAGUACUUUCAGCGGGGAGGAAGGGAGUAAAGUUAAUACCUUUGCUCAUUGACGUUACCCGCAGAAGAAGCACCGGCUAACUCCGUGCCAGCAGCCGCGGUAAUACGGAGGGUGGCAAGCGUUAAUCGGAAUUACUGGGCGUAAAGCGCACGCAGGCGGUUUGUUAAGUCAGAUGUGAAAUCCCCGGGCUCAACCUGGGAACUGCAUCUGAUACUGGCAAGCUUGAGUCUCGUAGAGGGGGGUAGAAUUCCAGGUGUAGCGGUGAAAUGCGUAGAGAUCUGGAGGAGUACCGGUGGCGAAGGCGGCCCCCUGGACGAAGACUGACGCUCAGGUGCGAAAGCGUGGGGAGCAAACAGGAUUAGAUACCCUCGUAGUC